rnacentral:rRNA from 1 species
AACGAACGCUGGCGGCAUGCCUAACACAUGCAAGUCGAACGAGACCUUCGGGUCUAGUGGCGCACGGGUGCGUAACGCGUGGGAACCUGCCCUUAGGUUCGGAAUAACUCCCCGAAAGGGGUGUUAAUACCGGAUAAUGUCUUCGGACCAAAGAUUUAUCGCCUUUGGAUGGGCCCGCGUUGGAUUAGCUAGUUGGUAGGGUAAAAGCCUACCAAGGCGACGAUCCAUAGCUGGUCUGAGAGGAUGAUCAGCCACACUGGGACUGAGACACGGCCCAGACUCCUACGGGAGGCAGCAGUGGGGAAUAUUGGACAAUGGGCGAAAGCCUGAUCCAGCAAUGCCGCGUGAGUGAUGAAGGCCUUAGGGUUGUAAAGCUCUUUUACCCGGGAUGAUAAUGACAGUACCGGGAGAAUAAGCUCCGGCUAACUCCGU